rnacentral:rRNA from 1 species
UACGAGGGGGGCGAGCGUUGUUCGGAUUUACUGGGCGUAAAGGGCGCGUAGGCGGCGUGACAAGUCACUUGUGAAAUCUCUGGGCUUAACCCAGAACGGCCAAGUGAAACUGUUGUGCUAGAGUGCAGAAGGGGCAAUCGGAAUUCUCGGUGUAGCGGUGAAAUGCGUAGAUAUCGAGAGGAACACCAGAGGUGAAGACGGGUUGCUGGGCUGACACUGACGCUGAGGCGCGAAAGCCAGGGGAGCAAACGGG